rnacentral:rRNA from 1 species
UACGUAGGGUGCAGGCGUUAAUCGGAAUUACUGGGCGUAAAGCGUGCGCAGGCGGUUUCUUAAGUCAGAUGUGAAAGCCCCGGGCUUAACCUGGGAACUGCGUUUGAAACUGGGAGACUUGAGUGUGGCAGAGGGGGGUGGAAUUCCACGUGUAGCAGUGAAAUGCGUAGAUAUGUGGAGGAACACCGAUGGCGAAGGCAGCCCCCUGGGCUAACACUGACGCUCAUGCACGAAAGCGUGGGGAGCAAACAGG